UUUUUUUUGUUUUUUUCUUUUUUCUUUUCUAAAGAAUGGCCAGAGUUCAUUCUAUUAGGACAAAGUGCUUUCCAGAACUCUCAUGAAGUAGGAAAGCACCUUUGGCUCUUAUUUCCCCAACACAAGAUAAUGCAAUUCAUCAUAAAGAGUGUUAUUUCCCAAGAAGCCAUCACUGGAUGGCAAGGCCAUUGUUCCAAAUGAUCUACAAAGUUCCAGAACAGCAGCCAAGAAUCAGAAGACUUUCCAGGAACUAAAAAGACUGUAAAGACAGAUGCACAUGUGUUUCUAUGGAAAAAUACUGGAGAGAGAAAAAAAAAAGACAAAUCUGAUGUUAGUUUAAGGAGACAAGUCUCCAACACCACUGUUAAACAAUAUGAGAUGUUGCCAUGGAGGGGCCCAUGACUGCUAAUCUAAUGUCCAUCACAUGGCAAAGGACUGAGUUGAGAAUGGUAACUUCUGAAACAUGCUCAGGCUUCUAAUUUUUAACUAAAGAGCAUCAGAAGGCUGACAACAUAGGUAUAGUUACACACCGCACCAGAAAUGCCAGCUAAAAUGAAGAUAUAAUUUCUCUUAAACCACCCUGAACUUCGUAACAGAAUGAUUAUACAGAGACAAGCCAGAGAAGUGACACAUCUGAUCUCUGAUAGCACAAGAAAAAAAUCCUGAGAUAUAUUAACACAAAAAAUCCAACACUGAUAAUGUCAGCAUUAAGUGCUGAAUUAGUAAGGGCAAAGGACAAACCUUGUGCUUCUCUUACUGCACUCUGUGCUUAGCCCAAGCCAGCUGCACAAGAGCCCUGACACUAUGGAAGUAUCUUCCAACAUAAUCAGAGUUGCCCUGUCUUUGGUGGAGACAGGUUGUGGCAGCACAAAGACAGGCCAAUGCCAGUGCAAAAUCAAAGAACAUGAAGUAAUACCCCACUUUUCACCAGGACAUAAAUCUGCAAGGAUUUUCAUUAGGAAAGCUGUCAUAAACACCAGAGCACUUAAUUUUCCUGGGGCCUCAACAUCCUCUCCUGCAGUACUAAUUCCUGCGAAUUUACUUACAUAGAAACACACUGUACACCAAAAAAGGGUUAAGCUUAACUUCUAUAAAUUAGCUAUGUAUACUCAAAUGAAAAUAAACAUACUAAUUCUACAAAGAGAAAUCAUCAAGACACUUGGUUAAUGAUGCCAAAGCCUGUUCUCUGUCUGCUGGUGCCCUUACCUGCAAUUCUUUAUGGCUGUAUUAUCAUCAUCAUCAUCUCUGGAGUUAGUAUUCCAAACAUACCAGCUGCCCACAACUGAAGGGCUUCUUUGCAUUACCAAUUAUAAUUGCACUGAAUGCACUACUGGUUCUGUGACAUAAAAAGGAAUUAAAAAAAAAAAACACCUCAUCAAGCUUAUUUCAACUUGAGAGAGUUGAACCCAGGUGAAAAACUAAGUCAGUAACCCACAGAACCCACUAAUUAAUUACCAUAUAGAUGUAUGAUCCAAUCUAAUGGAGAUCAAAAUUAAAAAAAAAAAAAGUAGUCCAUUAUUCAUCAUCGGUUUCAAUUACAAGUGGGAGAAUAAUACCACUUAACACAUUCCCUGUGGCCUGGCCCACACUCAAGAGAUGUUUUGGGAAGAAGCUUAAAAGCAAAAUCUGGCUUGAAAACUGGAGUAAGGCACCUCUUUUGAAAUCUUACCUCAAAAAUCAAAACAAAAAGCCCGACUACCAACAGGAGUCCCCAAAAUCCCAGUUCUCUCCUUUUUAAGAUGACUAUUUUAUAUACUAAGACAUUGAUAUCAAUGACUUUAUCCACCCAUUCCUUCAAUAAAGUGGACUAAAUCAGCACUAAUUUGUUAAUAAUUGUAUUACUUCAUGCACUCAUGCCAUACAAUGUCAAGCUAAAUUUCAAACAAAAUCCAUUUAAGAAAAUAGAAAAGAACAUUUCUUACCUGUUGCUGUUUCCUCAAAACUGUGGACUCCCACUGCUGAAGAUAAUCUGUCAAGUUAGUCUUCUUUCUUCUUUCUUUUUGUUUAACCUCCUACUCUUAAACCAUUUAAUAUUACCACAUGGGAAAGAAAAUGCAAGGAAAUACUUGUCUAAUGUGUCAAUGGCUACAUGCCACUUCCAUUAGUCAGCUUCUGUAUCAGCCUGGGUAGAUAGUUCAAGUAACAACAGGGGAAACAUUCUAUUUUCUAACAAGAAAAGACACACUAAGAAUAUGCCAGAAAAAAAAUUACAUUUUAAAAUAAAAAAGAGCAUAGGGUUCCAGCAGCACACAAAAUACCAGAAAAUACUAUAGUUUUAAGUAUAGCAUAUAUUAAUUAUUUUUCACAUUAAGUCAAUUUAGGUCAAAAAGCAUUAUGUGUUGAUUUCUCCAACAAAUUGUAACUAUAUCGAACAACAUGAAAGCCCACCUAAAAAAAAACCACAGUGCUUUUGCAAGACACUGGCACAAGAAAAUACAUUAGGCCUUCUUAUCACAUACUAAAGCUGUUGCACAUUUGGGUUGCAAUUGCAGUAUACUUUCUAGAAGAGUACUGCACAACUGAUUUACUUGUUAGUCAAAACAGGGAAUGAAUGGCAGCAUUUACUUGCAUCUUUUCAUUCACAUGGUACAGGUAAUGCUCUUCAGGACUGUUCAUGCUGUACUUUUGCUGGCUUGCACUUUUCCACUUCAUAAAAAAGGCACUGAAUUUUGAAUAUACUGAAAAGAAAUUAAUAGGAAAGUUCACAGUUCCUAGAGCACUUUAAGAGAUCAGUGUUACUUCAGCAAUACCAUUUUCACAGCUUAUUAUAUGUUAACAAGUUUCCAUUUAAAAAUGAGUCAUCCCAUCCCACUGGAAUAAGAAAAGAAAACCUGUCAUAUUCAGAUUGUAGAUUGCCCAAGUCUCAUUUACCUUUGAAGCACUGAAUUAAACUAUCUUAAGACCAAGAAGAAAUGAAAACUUAGUUAUUUUGUAGCUUCUGCCAAGUAAAUUGUCAGACCUAGUUCAAAGGACCUGUAAUCCAUUUUCUAGUUUUUUAUUUACAAUUUAGACAAAAAUCUGACUCAUUUUUAUAGGUGAAAUUGUAUGGUGGCAUUUUGAAAGUACUUCAACUUUGUGUUAUAACAGAAGUUAUGUUCUAAGUGUGGAAGAUCUCUAUUUCCCCAUAGUGAAACCAUUAAACCAGACACCAGACUUUACAGAACAGAAAAGCUGCAAUACAGGUUUGGAGGAACAGCUGUAAACGUUUAGGAUUUAAUAUACAUUCAUGAAACAUGAAGAUCUGAAUGGAGAACACUAAGCAGAACCAUUCAAGUGUGGGACUUCAGAGUUUGUUCAUGCAGUCAAUGACAUUAAAUAAUCAAUUGCAUGUCUUUAUUGCCUUUUCUCUCCUCAAAAGCAAAGAGUAAGCAAAUCCUUUGCUUUUAUAACACAGUAGGUCCAUGUGAGUUUACCUGGCAUGUUCUCAGUGCUCUUAUAUUAAUCCUUUAUUAAUUUGUGCCCACCUGAUAUGUCACACCACAAACAGUCAAGAUAAGAUAAGUGGGAGCUUGUCAUCAAGCUCCCAGAGCUAAAAUUAUAAACAUGGAUCUAAAAUUUCUGCCAAUGUGUGAAAAGUACAGCAAAUGUUAUGGAUUCACAAGUCAUUCACAUUCCUCCAAAGACACCAGCAAGGCAAAAAACCAGCUGUACAGGAAUAGGACUUAAAAGUACAACUCAUGCACCUGUAUGGAUCAGGUAGGAUGGCAAAAGUCAGACUAACCGCCAUAAAGAAAAAUCACAACUUCUACUCCAUCAGAAAUUAUUUGAGCCUUUAAUGAAUACUGUAAGAAAAGAAAUUCAGCUCACCAUGACUCUGCUCAUAUUAAAAAAAAAAAAAAAAA
ensembl:lncRNA